GGUAUUGAGAGUGUACUGGAUUUAACGGUCUACUGUUACAAGGUAUUGAGAGUGUACUGGAUGUAACAGUCUACUGCUACAAGGUAUUGAGAGUGUAUUGGAUGUAACGGUCUACUGAUACAAGGUACUGAGAGUGUACUGGGUGUCUAUUGACGCUACAACAGGGUACAAAGAUAAC